ACUCCAUCCCAAGCGGUUCUCAGUUUGCAUAACUGAUGAAUCCUCCUCUGAUGGAAAGAGUCUCG
rnacentral:snoRNA from 1 species